UGGGUCGAUGACAAAAUUAUUUCGUUAUUAAUUGCACCUAGACUGUUUAUCGUCGUUAUCCCCAGCCUUGGCAGCCACAGCGACUGCGCUAAAGGAUGCUGGGGUCUACAUCAUCGGAGGACAACCCUCGAGCGUCGAAGAAUACCCGAGCAUAGUGCAAGUGGAAAGACGUGAUGGAGGCAAAUGGCAUUUUAUUUGCGGCGCAGUAAUUAUUUCCAAACGCACCGUCGUAUCUACUGCGAACCGCUUGUUAGUAGCCCAUUAUUCAAUAAGUUCUGUUACCUAUUCUCUAUACUUGUGACCCUGAUGGGGACUUGAACAAACGCGAAUUUGUAUACCCUAUACAAAUUGAGUCGAUUGUUACUUCUCAUCAUCAGCCAAUAAUCAUUCACUGCUGGACAUAGGCCUCUCCCAAGGAGCGUCACAACACUCGGCCCUCGGGCGCGGUCGCGGGCGCGAACCGCCGCCUUUACUCUGUACACGACGAAACGGAAUAGGACAGACGACUGUUUUCUGAUUGGCAUGAGCUUUGUUUGUGUUAUUCUCGGCUAAUUUCUUUAAGAUAAUAACGAAAAAAUGGGUGCCACUCCUAACAAACUACCUUUUUACAGCUCUAAAAAAGUUAAGCCGUGUAAUCUGCGUAUCCGCGCAGGAUCCAGCAAAUAUGAAAAGGGUGGCCAUAUUGUCCGCGUAAGAAAUUACCAGAUCCAUCCCGACUUUGUUAGAAAAAAUUGGACUUCUAAUAUCGUUUUGCUAACGCUAAGGACACGACUGCCGAUGUCUAAUGUUAUACAGCCUGCUUUUAUCGUUCCAUCCGGUUUGGAAGUGCCCGACAACCAUGAGGUUCAGGAGGCUGGUUGGGGUGAAACGAUGUUCAGUAACCAUUCCGAAGUUCUGCAACAAGCGAUCGUAUACACAAUAAACCACGACGAAUGCAGCCGUCGUUUUGUCGCCGCUGCCGCUGGUUAUCAAGCUUUACCGGAGAACAUGAUUUGUGCUGGUAUCCUAGACGGUGGAGAAAGAUACACUUGUAAUAGAGACUCGGGAGGGCCUCUCUACAUGGAUGGCAUGCUUGUUGGAUUAGUCGCGACGACCCGUACAAAUUGUACCGAUCUUUCACUUACGAGGUACACUAAGGUGUCUGCCUUCACCAAUUGGAUUAAAAGCAAUGCUGAAUAAAAUUCUCGUGAAUACACGGUUCUUUCGGGUGAAAUUGUUUUUUUUUCAUGAAGCAUGAAGGAGAUAUCCUGUCCAUAUAAUUAAGAAUAUAAUGGAUUACAAUAAAUUUAUUUAAAUGAAUUUAAAAUUGAAAAUUUUUAUUGAAAGUGGAUUUAAAUGUAAUUUUAUUUAAUUUAUUAAAAUGAUUAAAAAUUAAAAUAUGUACAUAUUGCCCGUCGCUUUCAUUUAUAAAUUGAAAUAAGUCGUAACAAAGUAGAGGUACUGGAAAGUGUUUCUAGAAAGA